rnacentral:rRNA from 1 species
UGGAAACUGAUGACUGAGGGCAAGGAGAGGGGGAGUGGCCUUGCCAGUGUAGCGGUGAAUGCGUAGAUAUUCGGGAGGAUCACAGUGCGAGCGCUUCUUUGACUGUUUCUGACGCUGAGGCGCGAAGCGUGGGGAGCAAACGGGAUUAGAUACCCAGUAGUCACGCAGUAAACGAUGGGUGCUAGGUGUAGGAGGUAUCGACCCAUUCUGUGCCGUAGUUAACACAAUAAGCACCCCGCUGGGGAGUACGGCCGCAAGGUUGAAACUCAAAGGAAUUGACGGGGGCCCGCACAAGCGGUGGAGCAUGUGGUUUAAUUCGACGCAACGCGAAGAACCUUACCAGGGCUUGACAUCCUCUGACCGCAUAUGAAAGUAUGUUUUCUGGCUUCGGUCAGACAGAGAGACAGGUGGUGCAUGGUUGUCGUCAGCUCGUGUCGUGAGAUGUUGGGUUAAGUCCCGCAACGAGCGCAAC